CAAUUGUAACAAAUUUACGCCUUUUGUAUAUAGAGGCCGACCAGUUUGACGCAGACGUAAUGAGCUGAUGGUUCAAGAGUUGGCGGACAGCGUUUUUAAAUCCGUGCCCAAAACACCAAAACCGACACCGACGACAGCGCCACCCAUAACAUCCUGUGGUCGCCGCCAAUUAGAGCUCCACUGCCACUGCCGCCGUGUCCUGGUCCUGGUCACACCCCAACCCCCGCCACCGGACAACGACGACAUCUUCGUUGGGGAUUUGGAUUCUCAUAUUCCACUUGCGGACAUUCCAGCAAAUCACAUUGGCAAUGGCAUUGGCGUGAACCUCGACAUUGCAAGAUAUCUUCGGGAAGUUGUCCUCCGUGUGCAAUUUGGUCGCUUGCCCGCAGGUUAAGAGUGCGGUAUGGAGGAAUUUUUGAGGGAAUGGACUUCUUCAUCGGUUAUUAUAAUAUAAAAAUAUCAUUAGCCUUAUUAUGCUCAAGCCUCUGUUUAGCAAUAUAUAGGUAUGACG
ensembl:ncRNA lncRNA:CR43363 long non-coding RNA:CR43363